rnacentral:rRNA from 1 species
CCUACGGGAGGCAGCAGUGAGGAAUAUUGGUCAAUGGACGAGAGUCUGAACCAGCCAAGUAGCGUGAAGGAUGACUGCCCUAUGGGUGGUAAACUUCUUUUAUAAAGGAAUAAAACGAGGCACGUGUGCCUUUUUGCAUGUACUUUAUGAAUAAGGAUCGGCUAACUCCGUGCCAGCAGCCGCGGUAAUACGGAGGUGCCGAGCGUUAUCCGGAUUUAUUGGGUGUAAAGGGAGCGUAGAUGGGUUGUUAAGUCAGUUGUGAAAGUAUGCGGCUCAACCGUAAAAUUGCAAUUGAAACUGGCAGUCUUGAGUACAGUAGAGGUAGGCGGAAUUCGUGGUGUAGCGGUGAAAUGCUUAGAUAUCACGAAGAACCCCGAUUGCGAAGGCAGCUUACUAAACUGUGACUGACAUUGAUGCUCGAAAGUGUGGGUAUCAAACAGGAUUAGAUACCCGGGUAGUC